rnacentral:rRNA from 1 species
GUACUAAGGUAGCAUAAUAAUUAGCCUUUUAAUUGAAGGAUAGAAUGAAAGAACUAACGAGUCAACACAUCAUCCUUUUCCACAUACAAUAAAUUUCCAUUGAAGUAAAAAGUCUUCAAAAUCAAAGAAGGACGACAAGACCCUGACGAACUUUAACAUAAUGUUAGGCUGGGGCAGCCACUAAAUAAAACCUUAAGAUAAACCCCCAUACUACGAGAAAAUCUAAUUUAAAAACAAGUUACCGCAGGGAUAACAGCAUAAUUUUCCAUAAGAGCACACAUCCAAAGGAGAGAUUAUGACCUCGAUGUUGAAUUAUCUAUGAGAAACAAGCAAGCUUGUUAUAUUCUAGGUCUGUUCGACCUUAACCAGAUACAUGAU